rnacentral:rRNA from 1 species
GACGGACGCUGGCGGCGUGCCUAAUACAUGCAAGUAGAACGCUGAAGGAGGAGCUUGCUUCUCUGGAUGAGUUGCGAACGGGUGAGUAACGCGUAGGUAACCUGCCUGGUAGCGGGGGAUAACUAUUGGAAACGAUAGCUAAUACCGCAUAAGAGUAGAUGUUGCAUGACAUUUGCUUAAAAGGUGCAAUUGCAUCACUACCAGAUGGACCUGCGUUGUAUUAGCUAGUUGGUGGGGUAACGGCUCACCAAGGCGACGAUACAUAGCCGACCUGAGAGGGUGAUCGGCCACACUGGGACUGAGACACGGCCCAGACUCCUACGGGAGGCAGCAGUAGGGAAUCUUCGGCAAUGGACGGAAGUCUGACCGAGCAACGCCGCGUGAGUGAAGAAGGUUUUCGGAUCGUAAAGCUCUGUUGUAAGAGAAGAACGAGUGUGAGAGUGGAAAGUUCACACUGUGACGGUAUCUUACCAGAAAGAGACGGCUAACUACGUG